GGAUGUGAGGGCGGUCUGGCUGAGACAUCUGUCGGUCUCCCCACUGAUUGCCAGGGUGAUCUGGCUGAUCAGGCUGGCUGGGCAGGUGUCCCCUACUCCAUCACAGCCUCAUGCCUGUCCCUCCCAAAGCUGUCUGCUCCCUCCAACCACACGGACAAACACCAGGACUAUAUGAGCUGCACUUCCCUGCUAGAAAGCCCCAAAACACUCUCAAAGAUGUGGGUUGGGGAUAUAUCUCGGUGGUAAAGUGUUAAAGCACUUAUAUAGCAUGUACCUAAGGCACUAGGUUUAAUCCCCAU
rnacentral:snRNA from 1 species